AUUGAACGCUGGCGGUAUGCUUAACACAUGCAAGUCGAACGAGUGGCGGACGGGUGAGUAAUGCAUAGGAAUCUACCUUUUAGUCCAGGAUAACUCCCCGAAAGGGUGGCUAAUACUGGAUGCUAAGCGAUGAGGCUAUGGGUGAUUAGCUAGUUGGUGGGGUAAUGGCUCACCAAGGCGACGAUCUCUAGCUGGUUUGAGAGGAUGAGCAGCCAAACUGGGACUGGGAAACGGCCCAGACUCCUACGGGAGGCAGCAGUGGGGGAUAUGGGACAAUGGGCGAAAGCCUUAUCCAGCAAUACCGCGUGUGGGAAGAAGGCCCUAGGGUUGGAAAGCACUUUUGUUAGGGAGAUGUUACCUAAAGAAUAAGCACCGGCUAACUCCGUGCCAGCAGCCGCGGUAAUAC
rnacentral:rRNA from 1 species